rnacentral:rRNA from 1 species
AGAUGCUGCAUGGAAGUCGUCAGCUGUGUGUGAGAUGUUGGGUUAAGUCCCGCAACGAGCGCAACCCUCGCCUUUAGUUGACAUCAUUCAGUGGGACACUAUAAGGAGACUGCCGGUGAUAAGCCGAGAGGAAGGUGGGGAAGACGUCAAGUCCUCAUGGCCCUUAGGGGCUGGGCUACACACGUGUUACAAGGGUGGUGACAGUGGGCAGCGAGACCGCGAGGUCGAGCUAAUCUCCAAAAGCCAUCUCAGUUCGGAUUGCACUCUGCAACUCGAGUGCAUGAAGUUGGAAUCGCUAGUAAUCGCGGAUCAGCAUGCCGCGGUGAAUACGUUCCCGGGCCUUGUACACACCGCCCGUCACACCAGGGGAGUUGGUUUUACCCGAAGGCGCUGUGCUAACCGCAAGGAGGGA